UCCAAAGAAGACGAUUAGAAAACGUCCAAGUAAAGUGAGCAUGUCGUUAACCGCCAAUUCCCCAUGAUGCACCUCGGUAGCAGUCACGUGAGGCAGUUUUGAAUCUUGCUGUGCUCAACUUACCCCAUUGUCAAGUUCACAUAAGUUUCUGAUUUAGCUGGACAUGAGUUUUCAAGUUAGCUUUUUUUGGUGUAAUUGGGACGUUUUUAACUUGUAAUUCUAUGUUAUAACAACAACUUCAGUCAUCUAUCGUCAAACUGAUAUAGAAUAAUAUGUUGAAAUAACAAACAGCUAGAAUUACAUUUUACAGUGUGUGAGAGAAGGAAAACAGGAUGAAAGACAUGCUGUGAAAGAGAGACAGAUAUGAUUCAAUGCAGAGAGGUCUAUUAACACAUAGUGAGUGAGAAAGGUGACUGGAAAGGAAAAACUCAAUGCAUCAUGGCAAUCCCCCAGCAGCCUACGUCUAUUGCAGCAUAACUAAGGGAGGAUCCAGGGUCACCUGGUCCAGCCCUAACUAUAUGCUUUAGCAAAAAGGAAAGUUUUAAGCCUAAUCUUAAAAGUAGAGAUAGUGUCUGUCUCCCAAAUCCAAACUGGAAGCUGGUUUCACAGAAGAGGGGCCUGAAAACUGAAGGCUCUCCCUCCCAUUCUACUUUUAAAUACUCUAGGAACAACAAGUAAGCCUGCAGUGCGAGAGCGAAGUGCUCUAAUAGGGUGAUAUGGUACUACAAGGUCAUUAAGAUAAGAUGGGGCCUGAUUAUUUAAGACCUUGUAUGUGAGGAGCAGGAUUUUGAAUUCAAUUCUGGAUUUAACAGGAAGUCAAUGAAGGGAAGCCAAAACAGGAGAAAUAUGCUCUCGCUUUCUAGUCCCUGUCAGUACUCUUGCUGCAGCAUUUUGGAUUAACUGAAGGCUUUUCAGGGAGUUUUUAGGACAUCCUGAUAAUAAUGAAUUACAGUAGUCCAGCCUGGAAGUAAUAAAUGCAUGAACUAGUUUUUCAGCAUCACACUGAGACAGGAUAUUUCUAAUUUUAGAGAUGUUGCGCAAAUGGAAGGAAGCAUUCUUACAUAUUUGUUUAAUAUGUGAGUUGAAGGACAUGUCCUGGUCAAAAAUGACUCCAAGGUUCCUCACAGCGUUACCGGAGGCCAAGGUAAUGCCAUCCAGAGUAAGAAUCUUGUUAGAUACCAUAUUUCUAAGAUUUUCAGGGCCGAGUACAAUAACCUCAGUUUUAUCUGAAUUAAGAAGCAGAAAGUUAGCGGCCAUCCAGGUCUUUAUGUCUUUAAGACAUUCCUGCAGUUUAACUAAUUGGUGUGUGUUACCUGGCUUCAUAGAUAGAUAGAGCUGGGUGUCAUCUGCAUAGCAAUGAAAAUGUAUGCUAUGUCUUCUAAUAAUGCUGCCUAAGGGAAGCAUGUAUAAUGUAAACAGAAUUGGUCCUAGCACUGAACCCUGUGGAACACCAUAAUAGACCUUAGUGUGUGAAGAGGACUCUCCAUUUACAUGCACAAAUUGGAGUCUAUGAGAUAGAUAUGAUACAAACCACUGCAAUGCAGUACCUGAAAUACCUACAGUGUGCUCUAAUCACGCUAAUAGAAUAUUAUGGUCGACAGUAUCGAACGCUGCACUGAGGUCUAGCAGGACAAGCACAGAGAUGAGUCCACUGUCAGAGGCCAUAAGAAGAUCAUUUGUAACCUUCACUAAAGCUGUUUCUGUGCUGUGAUGAGCUCUGAAACCAGACUGAAACGCUUCAAAUAAGCCAUUCCUCUGCAGAUGAUCUAUUAGCUGUUUGACAACUACUCUUUCAAGGAUUUUUGAUAUGAAAAGAAGGCUGGAGAUUGGCCUAUAAUUAGCUAAGACUGCUGGGUCUAGAGAUGGCUUUUUAAGUAAAGGUUUAACUACAGCCAGCUUGAUGUACAACAUACAUGCAUACACACAUGCAUGAUUGCAAACUAUGGCCAAAAAUGAUAAAAUAUAUAUAAAAAUUAGUUUUUAGCAAUUUCCUAAAACAAAUGACAGAGUCAGUCGGCCUGAUUGACUGAGAAAGGAUGUUUCACAGUUUCAGUAAAUAGGCCACAGGCUGACAGCAGGCAAGUGGAAACCAGAAGUGGUGGAUGGAAGAGUUAAAUCGGGUUGGUGCGGCAACAGGGUGAUCCAACAGGAAGGAGCCGGAGAUGGGACGAUAAAGCAGUACACAACUUUCAAAAUUCAAAAAGGAGAACCAGGGACUUUUUACCCUUUUGCCUUCACUUACAUCAUGGGUGUCGAUAAGGACAAAAAAAAGGAGUUUUCUUGGAAGACAUCAAGCAGGGUAUGAAGGGACAUGUGAAGGAUGGCUACCCGUUCAAUACAGAGACUUCAAUAUCCAAGAGAGAUCGCGACUACAGUGAAAACCCUGGUCUCAGUGACAAAGUUUAUGUUCUGGUUUCUGUGAUUUCCGUGAGCCAAGCAAAAACACUGAGUGAUAAAUAUAUGAAAAAGAUGAAGGAUGUCAGACAAGAAGCCACUCACUUGAGGAUUCCUCAAAGGCUUCUCCUCACUAAAAUUGAUUAAGCCUAUCUAGAAGUCAAAGCGGACAUAAAAAAUGUGUAUAAGAGCUCACCCUUAAAGGAACAGAUGGAGAAAGUGAGCGAGUCUCUGGGUAUUCCACUGUACUGCAGCUUUCCUGUGAAGAACUACCACUCAGAAAUCCACACAGACGACAACACUGACACGCUGAUCCUCAGAGCACUGAGAAAGAUGAUUGACUUUGAAGAGGACUUUGUCAACAAUGUGUAGCUCUGCUAAUACCGCAAACAGCCUUCUAUAAUGCAGCGUUAAAAUGGUGAUGAACAGGAAGGUUUGCAGUAAUGAUUUGCUUUUUGUUUUGUGCUUUUUAUUUUCAUGGAUUUAAUGCAGUUAUCAUGUGUAUCACGUGCCAUUGCAACAGCUUUAUUUCCUUUUUCAGCCCUUCUGUUGCAGAUUUGCUGGAGCACUCAGAAAAAUACUUGAGUACAAUAGGAAAUAGGAAAUUUAAUGGAAUCUGUUCAAAUGAAAUUAACUUGACUGGGUUGUAUUCAGUUUUUUCUUUAAUGUUUAAUUAUUUGGAUAAAUAAACUUUUGGUUUUAAAUA